AUGCCCGUUGAAUGCCUCCCAGGUUUCUCAGACCUUUGAACCAGGUACCAAGUGCUACAUGUGCUGGCAACCGGGUCAUUGGGCUAGGAACUGCCCUAACUGGAACAAGCCUCCUCAGAAGCCAUGUGUCCUUUGCAAGCAGACUGGCCACUGGGCUGGCCUCUGUCCUAAGGCCCAAAACCUGGAGGGGAGGCACCCACAGGCCAACGUGCAGCUGAUAAAGGAGGAGGAGGAUUGAAGGCGCCCGGUCCUGACGUCCCAGCAGCAAGAGAUAGCUGUUACUGGUCUGGAACCUAGGGUGAGCAUCAAUGUGGCAGAAAGGUCAGUGAAGUUCCUUUUAGAUACUGGGGCCACCUUCUUUGUCCUUAUUUCCUUCCCUGGCACCCCGCACCUGCUCCAUCCUGGGAGUGUCAGGAAACCCUGUAGUUAAACAUUUUACUGAACCUCUCAGAUGUCUUUGGGAUAACUUCUAUUUUUCUCAUAGCUUCCUAGUGAUCCCUGAAUGUCCAGCUCCUCUCCUAGGCUGAGGCAUCCUGUCCAAGCUGCACACCUGCAUAGUCAUCGGGCCUCAUCCUCGUCCCUCUACAGCUUUCCAAUUGUUUCUCACAGUGGAGGAGCCUCAGAUACACCCACAGGAACCAUGGAAACAGGCCAUAACUCCUGAAGUUUGGGAUACAAGAGUCCCUGGCAAAGCUAAGUAUGCCACCCCUGUAAAGAUUUUCCCAAGGGGCGUUCAGAAGUCACCUUGCCCAACCUGUCCAGCGCAAGGGAUCCUACCCUGGGGAAGACUGGCAGAUGGAUUUUACUCAGGUACCUGCUGUCCAGGGAUUUAAGUAUCUUUUGGUGUUUAUAGACACCUUUACUGGGUGGAUUGAAGCAUAUCCCACCCACACUGAGUGGCUCAUGAAGUGGCUAUAAAACUACUUCAGGAAAUAAUUCCUCGGUUUGGGCUUCCCAAAUCGCUGCAGAGUGAAAAUGAGCCUGCUUUCAUCUCCCAAAUCACUCAAGCAGUCUCCCAACACUUGGGAAUAACCUAUCGUCUCCACUGUGCCAGGAGACCUCAGUCCUCAGGGCAGGUAGAGAGAAUUAAUCAACACCUGAAGCUAACCCUCAGAAAGCUGACACGAGAAACUCAGAUGAGCUGGAAAGAUGCACUACCCAUAGCUCUGCUACGUCUUAGGAUUGCCCCAUGGCAAUCUACGUGUUUGAGCCCCUAUGAAGUUUUAUACGGGCAGCCUUUUCUUAUAACAGAGCCAGCUAUAGACCCUGAGGUAGCCUUAGUACAGCAAUAUGCCACCCAAGUAGCCCAAUGUCAGGAGGCCUUCCAUCAGUUUGGGCUCACUCAGACCCAAGGGGAGGAAAAGUUACCACCCUUGUGCCAGCCAGGAGAUCUAGUUCUUAUAAAAACUUGGAAGGAUGGACCCCUAAUUCCCAGCUCCAGCCAGUCUGGAAGAGACCUUUGCCAGUCAUUCUUUCUACACCCACUGCUGUCAGAGUUCCAGGGCAGAGUGCUCAGAUCCACCAUACCCGAGUAAAACCCUGGAGACCAUCACCAUCUGACCCCUCCGAGGCAGAGGCUGCAAACAAAUACUCCUGUGAGCCGCUGGACGGGCUUAGGAUGGUAUUUCAUCGCCACCCCAGGGCAGAUGAGGGCCACGCUGAUAAUUCUACCUCAGAUCCCCACAGCCUUAGGCCAGUAAAUGCCUUUACCCCAUUCCUGUGUUUACAGUAACCAAACUCUCAUGCCUGUUAGUCCUAAGAUUUCUAUUGAUUUCCUGUGACACUAACCUAACCUAAGGGCACUGCCACCUCACAAUCUUACCCUUGUCUCACUUAAACUGUUCACCUGUUUGUCGCUUGCUUUUCCAGAAGUUCUCAGGUUACCAAGGCCUCUGAACCAAGUGUGCCAGCUCCAGGACCACCAUCUCCUGGACCACAUUGACCUCAUCCAUCCUGGGCCCUAAAUGGACAACCCCUUCUAACAGAGUAGGAAGGACCCUGAAGAGAAGUCAAUGCAUCUGAAUGAUGGUGCACCACUGAUUCCUGAAACAGCAAGCAACUCUGUCUUGGAAGAAGUACACCCAGAAUACUUGCUCCUUAGAGCAGUACGGGGCUGGAGAAUCCCAGAGACACAGCUAGCCAACCCCAGAACAGCACAACGGCCCUAACCACCAAUGAGAAGACGACCCAGAGCUCGGAAGUCCCAGAGACUGAGGCUGGCCAACCCUGGGAACGACAAGACAGACUAAGCUGCCAGCUCACCACAAACAAGCCAAUCAGUGGAAAGCAGGAGGGGCGGGCUGGGGACGCCCCGGCAACAUAAACCCUGUGUAUAUAAGUGAUGGCAUUUUCUUUGUUCCCGGCUCUUGUCCAAGACGCAGUUGGGUACCUGAGGACUCGAGCCCUGGCUUA